rnacentral:rRNA from 1 species
UACGGAGGGGGCAAGCGUUGUUCGGAAUUACUGGGCGUAAAGCGCACGCAGGCGGAUUGAUAAGUCAGGGGUGAAAUCCCGGGGCUCAACCUCGGAAUUGCCUUUGAUACUGUCUGUCUUGAGACCGGGAGAGGUGAGUGGAAUUCCUAGUGUAGAGGUGAAAUUCAUAGAUAUUAGGAAGAACACCAGUGGCGAAGGCGGCUCACUGGCCCGGUACUGACGCUCAUGUGCGAAAGCGUGGGGAGCAAACAGG